rnacentral:lncRNA from 1 species
CGAGUGGCCGGAAAUGACGAAUCGAUACUUGCAGAAUCCCAGAUUCCGGCGACGACUUGUAUGGCCUCGUCCGACAUCGGUGGGUGACAGAACCUCUGGGUUUUCUUCUCCAUUGCUCGCUGAGUGCAGCGGUGAUGGUGGUGUGGUAAAGGGAUGACUGGAAACCGUUGAGGGUCGUGGAACAGUGGCGUCGCAGGUUUGGAGGUCGAGUGCGGCGACCGGAACGUCUUGAUCGAUGGUGAAACGACUGGGUCUUGGUCGGGUUUGUGUUAUGAUUCAAAUGGUGGUGGCGGUGUAGUGUGGUAGUGGCCGGGUAGUGGUGA